rnacentral:lncRNA from 1 species
GGAGGCUGGGAUUCAAGGAGAGGUUUGCCAGGAUGAGAAAGUGGAAAAUCCCUCCCCAAAAAAGGGCGAAGGGUGCUGGGGGAAGGCACCCUGCUGCAGGUGCCUGGUACAAUAGCAUCAGCGGGGUGACUUCAGCUUCCUUUUCCCCUCCAUGUCAGGAAUUAUUUGCCUUUCUUCCUCAUCCCACCCAGUGCUCGGUUACAGAAGGGCUUUCCAUUUGACUCUAAUUUGAAUGCCAUCCAAAUGUUCUCCACCCAAACUCAUGCUCCCCUGGAAAGAGAUGGGCAGGGAAGUGUGGUCACCUAUACUUGGGGCAGGGCAAGAAAUGGGGUGUGUGUGCAGUAGCAGGGGCUUUUUUCCCUUAAAUCCCCGUCCCACAGCCCUGCCUACCCUAUACUCAGUCACUGCUCCCCACUCUGGGGCCUGGGACAAGGCAGGGGCUCUCCUGACCCCAUUCUGUGCCCCUCUCCUAGGACCAAGGACACCUUCUGGAGGCCUCGGCCGUUCUCCUCCCUGACGAAGGCAGCAGAGAGAGCAGAGAGCACCCGCUCCCACGGCUCGGGAAGGCUCUGGGAACCACGGCUCCAGGCCAUCGACCCAUCCGUCCAGGUCUGCCCGGGGUUAUUGUCCCCUGCGUGUUGUGGCGCUGGCCUGGCCGGGCACCGAUGUCCUUGUCCCGGGGCUCAGAGUCCAUCGGAGCUGCCCUGCGGUGCCCAGUCCUGGGGCAUCAGGGACAUCGGGGGCUGCACUACUGGGGGGCUCGUAGCAAAACCAGCACCGCUUGUCCCGUCCCUUCUUUGCAGAUAAGGAUCAAGAGACCCCAGGUCAGGGCUCCAAGCCAGCCUGCCCUGCAGCCGUAGCCUCCCCGCAGCCCCUCCAGCACCAAGACGUGGCCACUCCUGGGGGUCCCGGCUCCGUGCCCACCCGGGGCAGGGGCAGCAUCAGAUGGGGGGCUCCGGGCACGUGCCCGCUGGGCAUGGAGCAUCGCAUCUGGGGGCUGUGGGAGGUGUCUGUGCUACAGGGGGGGAUGCUUGGGUCAUCAAAAUAAGGGUCUCGCCUUCUGCUCGGGACAUGCAGAAGCGACUGGGGUCACCCGCGGGUGAGUCUGUCCGGUGUGCCCCUGCACAGCGCGGCUGGACCCGGGGAUCAUGACCCGUUAUGAGCAGAAUAAAUGUGAAAUGACAGCACGCUGCUGCGUGGUGUGU